GACGAACGCUGGCGGCGUGCCUAACACAUGCAAGUCGAGCGAGUGAAUCUCCUUCGGGAGUGAAGCUAGCGGCGGACGGGUGAGUAACACGUGGGCAACCUGCCUCAUAGAGGGGAAUAGCCUUUCGAAAGGAAGAUUAAUACCGCAUAAGAUUGUAGCUUCGCAUGAAGUAGCAAUUAAAGGAGCAAUCCGCUAUGAGAUGGGCCCGCGGCGCAUUAGCUAGUUGGUGAGGUAACGGCUCACCAAGGCGACGAUGCGUAGCCGACCUGAGAGGGUGAUCGGCCACAUUGGGACUGAGACACGGCCCAGACUCCUACGGGAGGCAGCAGUGGGGAAUAUUGCACAAUGGGGGAAACCCUGAUGCAGCAACGCCGCGUGAGUGAUGACGGCCUUCGGGUUGUAAAGCUCUGUCUUCAGGGACGAUAAUGACGGUACCUGAGGAGGAAGCCACGGCUAACUACGUG
rnacentral:rRNA from 1 species